rnacentral:misc_RNA from 1 species
UGCAAUUCGGUUUGGGAAUUAGAAAUUUAGAGAUUUUAAGUCAAAUGACAAAUUAUUAGCUAGUAGAACUUCGUCUAAUAUUCAAGGUCUAUCUGGACUAAGCUGCUUCUACAUGCAACACCAUUUUGGAUCCAAAAGAAGCUCUUGUCAAAAUUAAGCUAAGCAUUCAUGGAACGCCAAUAUGCUAAAAGCAGCCUCAAACAACGCCUAAGGUACAAGUCUGGCGCACUGGCCCAAAAAAAAUAUCCUAAGCUCGCUGACACAAAUAUAAACAACAACAUCCCUCCAUCUUCAUUUUGGUUUCUUCAUGGGCCUCACCUUCUGCAAUACUGUCUUCACAGGGCAUGCUAAACUCCGUUUUUGUCAAUGCCUUGGCCCAUUCUACGCCUCUGCCGUAGUCUUCCGCCAAUACUGUCUGGAUUUGGUUCAGCAGUGCGUGCAGUUUUCUUCUUGAGCUUUGGACUAGUGUCCAAGAUGAUAUUGCCAUCAGUGCACUUGUCCUCCUCAACAUGUAAUUCCUCUUCUUUUGGCUCCUCUUGAUUAGAAAACAUAUUCACAGAUGGCUUAACAUCAGAAUUUUUCUCAUUGACACCAGUUGGCUCCACAUUACCUUGGCCAUUGGUUUUCUGAUGCCCUUGCCUCAAUCUUGCAGCAAUACUAUCUAGGUUUGGCUUGAAGGCCAAUGCCCUCUUCGUUUCAAGUUUCGGACAGCUUUCGAGUACAAUAUUGCAAUUAUCAUGCUCUUCAUCUGUAGAUUGCAAUUGCUGCUUUUUCUCACCUUUAAACUCACUCUCUCUUUCAUCUUCAAAUAUAGGCGGCUUUGAUAAUCCUGCAUGGCCAUAACAAACGUCAUGGUUGGCCUUUGAAGAUUCCAUAUUCUCAGAAUGUGCUUCAAUUUCUCUCUUGCCUUCAGAGUUAGGCUCUGAAAAUCCAAGGCACUCAUUGGCCUCAUGAUUGACCUCUACAGAUCCCAUAUUUGUCUGACCAUCAGUGGUCAGAUUUCUGCUGUUUGGUAGUUGUUUCUCUUUCUUAAUCUUUAACUCAUCAUGUGUUGUCUCUUCAUAUUGUCCAAUAUUUUCAUCAUUGAUAAUUGGAGGUCUCUCAGAUGGUAUUUCCAUAUCUGAGAAGGGCAGUGACCUUUUUGCAGAAACUUGACUGACAGUCACUGAAUCCUUUUCCGAAGUAUUUUGUGAGCGUUGGGUUUGGAUGAGAUAAUGCGCAACUGACUUGUAGCCCAAGCUUGAAAUCUUACGGUAAAGAGCUCCAGUGGGAGCCCAUCCUUUUGAUUGCCGGCACAAACUGCAGUUGCAAAUUCCACGACAGACAGGGCAUAUCCAAUUUGGAUUUUCUAUGGCUUCAAGUACAUGUUCCCCAUAUCUCAUGUACAAACAAUCUCCACAAAACUGUCCUUGGACCAUCUUGCAGUUGCUGCAAUGGGUACGAUAACCAAGAGUUUUCUGCCUACAUUGAUGGCAAGUCUUUCCCUUAACCUGAUCAUAAAUACGUUUUCCAUCCUUUCCGUACCCAUCCACAAAUAGCGCCCAGCUCCUCUCAGUGUUGCCCAAAAGCUUCUCAUGCUUUUCAGUGUAAACCUCUGGCUUUGAACCCACCUCUAGUCUCACAUCCUCGUCCUCCAAUAGCCCAUUCUUCUUUGCCAAUACCGCUUCUGAAUAGCUAACAGGCGUCGCAUUGUGCAACCUUGAGGAACGGCGAAGAGGUCCAGAUUGCUGCAGAGGAGAGGGAUGUUUUGCUGAGGAUGGGUUAUUUCUUGGGGUGCGUUUAGAAGCAGUGAGGGAGUGGAGCUUGAGAGAGAGAUCCACCAGACCGAGUUUCUGCAUUCUUUCGCGGUUUGACUUGAUUCUCUCUUCUCUGGAAAGCUCAUAGGGCGACAUCUUUGGGCUUUGGUCAUCGUUGAUUAGCGAAUUAGGGUUUGUGUUGGCUUCUACAGAUUGUGUUUCCCUCUUUCCCAUGGUGGUGCUCUGGGCUGCGUGUCACUUCACUCUCAGUGGCAGUGCCAGUGGGUGCUCUUCCAACGGUCCA